AAGGGAUCAUUGGUUCCAGUCACAGGUGUAGUAAUUGUGGGUACUUUAAGGUUUGGAGCACUUACAAGGCUGUGGUAGAAACAUACCCCAUGGAUACCACAUAUUAAACCAUGUAUAUCUGUGGAAUACUCAAUCUCAAUGUGCACACCUUUGACUACAACUGCAGAAGUGUUCCUUUAGACAAAGUUGUGACCCAUUUUACUCUGGAUAAGGGCAGAAACGGUUCACAUUCCAUUAUUUGUAAAGUUACCUGCUGUUAGCUUUCAUUAUUUUUGCUACACUCAUUUUAUUUGUAU
rnacentral:lncRNA from 1 species